rnacentral:precursor_RNA from 10 species
AGCUUAGCGCUGAAUAGGCAGCUUAUUCUUCACAGUGGAGGUAAAGAUUGUGGUGAAUUUAAUGAACACGAUUUUUGCUUUCCACUGCACAAGAACAUGUAUGCAAAGUUCAACUCAGUGCU